UACGUAGGGAGCAAGCGUUGUCCGGAAUCAUUGGGCGUAAAGCGCGCGUAGGUGGCUUCGUAAGUCCGCUGUGAAAGUCAAAGGCUCAACCUUUGAAAGCCGGUGGAUACUGCGGGGCUAGAGUACGGAAGAGGCGAGUGGAAUUCCUGGUGUAGCGGUGGAAUGCGCAGAUAUCAGGAGGAACACCAAUAGCGAAGGCAGCCCGCUGGGACGUUACUGACACUGAGGCGCGAAAGCGUGGGGAUCAAACAGG
rnacentral:rRNA from 1 species